AUUGAACGCUGGCGGCAGGCCUAACACAUGCAAGUCGAGCGGAGCGGCGGACGGGUGAGUAAUGCCUAGGAAUCUGCCUGGUAGUGGGGGAUAACGUCCGGAAACGGGCGCUAAUACCGCAUACUAUCAGAUGAGCCUAGGGCGGAUUCGCUAGUUGGGGGGGUAAAGGCCUACCAAGGCGACGACCCGUAACUGGUCUGAGAGGAUGAUCAGUCACCCUGGAACUGAACCACGGUCCAGACUCCUACGGUAGGGAGCAGUGGGGAAUAUUGGACAAUGGGCGAAAGCCUGAUCCAGCCAUGCCGCGUGUGUGUAGAAGUUCUUCGGAUUGUAAAGCACUUUAAGUUGUGAGGCGUUACCAACAGAAUAAGCACCGGCUAACUUCGUGCCAGCCGCCGCGGUAAUUC
rnacentral:rRNA from 1 species